CCUACGGGAGGCUGCAGUGAGGAAUAUUGGUCAAUGGACGAGAGUCUGAACCAGCCAAGUCGCGUGAAGGAUGACUGCCCUAUGGGUUGUAAACUUCUUUUAUAUGGGAAUAAAACGUUCCACGUGUGGGAUUUUGUAUGUACCAUAUGAAUAAGGAUCGGCUAACUCCGUGCCAGCAGCCGCGGUAAUACGGAGGAUCCGAGCGUUAUCCGGAUUUAUUGGGUUUAAAGGGAGCGUAGGUGGAUUGUUAAGUCAGUUGUGAAAGUUUGCGGCUCAACCGUAAAAUUGCAGUUGAAACUGGCAGUCUUGAGUACAGUAGAUGUGGGCGGAAUUCGUGGUGUAGCGGUGAAAUGCUUAGAUAUCACGAAGAACUCCGAUUGCGAAGGCAGUUCACUGGACUGCAACUGACACUGAGGCUCGAAAGUGUGGGUAUCAAACAGGAUUAGAUACCCGAGUAGUC
rnacentral:rRNA from 1 species